rnacentral:rRNA from 1 species
UACGUAGGUGGCAAGCGUUUGUCCGGAAUUACUGGGCGUAAAGCGUGCGUAGGCGGUUUGUUAAGUCCGUUGUGAAAGCCCUGGGCUCAACCUGGGAAUUGCAGUGGAUACUGGCGAGCUAGAGUGCGGUAGAGGAUGGUGGAAUUCCCGGUGUAGCGGUGAAAUGCGUAGAGAAUCGGGAGGAACACCCGUGGCGAAGGCGGCCAUCUGGACCAGCACUGACGCUGAGGCACGAAAGCGUGGGGAGCAAACAGG